GAGGAUAUAGCUCUGUGGUAGAGUUCCUGCUUAGCAUGCAUGAGGUCCCGGCUUCAAUCCCCAGUACCUCCA
rfam:Camelus ferus unplaced genomic scaffold scaffold1783, whole genome shotgun sequence.